rnacentral:rRNA from 1 species
CAGUAGCCGCGGUAAUACGUAGGGCGCAAGCGUUGUCCGGAAUUAUUGGGCGUAAAGAGCCCGUAGGCGGUCUGUCGCGUCUGGUGUGAAAUCCCGAGGCUCAACCUCGGGCUUGCAUCGGGUACGGGCAGACUAGAGUGCGGUAGGGGAGACUGGAAUUCCUGGUGUAGCGGUGGAAUGCGCAGAUAUCAGGAGGAACACCGAUGGCGAAGGCAGGUCUCUGGGCCGCAACUGACGCUGAGGAGCGAAAGCAUGGGGAGCGAACAGGAUUAGAUACCCGAGUAGUCCCUGUCUCUUAUAC